UAAGGUCUCGUAGGGCUACAUUGAUUAAUUUAAAUUUAUUUGUUUUAUUACAUUGAUCAAUAUUUUUUUCAAUUUUUCUAUUUGUUGACAGGUAUAGGUUAUAGAUCCAUCCAUUUGUCUUCCUAUUCUUGGUUCUUUUGGUUGGUGUACAUCCUGUAUCAAUCAGAGCCAUUCCUUCUAUUUCAUAAUCUUUUAUUUUUAUUUUCAUAGGUAUCAAAUAUUUGUGUAUUUCUGAGGGGACUCUACAUCUUGGGAUAUGGUGGCAUAAGUCUAGGUCUUUACCUCUACUACUCCCUUCUGGAGGAAUAUCUUCAGAUAAAAUGCCUAGAAGAAAAAUGUGAGAUGUAAGCACUGUUCAAAAUGCUCCAAACUCAGCAGAAACAAAUAGUGAACAACGAACAGCUAUUGGAUCUUCGAAUGUUUCGAAUACACUUGAGGAUCCUACAGAAGUUCAAACUGAAAAUGGUAGGACGCGCAAAGGUCGAGGACGUACGCUACUUAGAGAGUUAUACGAGUUAGAUCCAGUCGAGCAUGUCAAAGUUGGACGAAACAGUUUUGGUCAGCCUGUUGGAACAGAAGCUCGACUUUUAGCAGGAUACUUGAGCAUUUUAGCACGAAAUACGAAUAUGUUGACUAUCAACUACGAGUCAUGGCAUAAAAUGCCCGAUAGUAACAAAAACCAAGCCCUCGAUAGUAUUAAGGCGAGGUUUGCUUUAGAGGUCUCGGAUACUUAUGUAAAGAAGGCAUUGGGAAAAAGAUGGAGAGACCAUAAAAGUACUUUAAAGAAAGAUUAUUAUAAGACAAAAACAACCCUCGAAGAGAAAUUGCAAAAUGUCCCGCCGGGUAUGCUGAGGUACCAAUGGGAAGAAGCGGUUAGAUUUUGGCAAUCGAAGAAAGGCGAGGAUCGUGAAUGAGUUGGAAAAAGCAGUAGGCAGAAAUAGAAAUUCACUCACACAGUCGGGUCGAAAAGUUUUGCAUGUGUAGCUGAGGCAGAGAAACUGUUGUCCGGUCAAAAAGUUGGACGCCUUCAACUUUUUGAAAUUACACAUAGGAAGAAAGAUGGAUCUCCUAUGACUCCUGAAGCUGCAGAAAUUAUGGAAAAACUAAAGGAUAAAAAGACGGAGUACGAAGAGAAUGCUUCCCGGUGAGAGUUCUGUUCAUCUUGAAGACAAUGAUAACCAGAUUAUUGCUGAAGUUUUGGGUCCUAAAAGGUAUGGUCGGGUCAGAUUUCAAGGAUCUUUUAUUAACCCAACCCAAUAUUUUGGAUCCAGCUCGCGGCAAUACAUGCCUUUGGCGAGUUAGUCUCAAGCUGAAGUUCAGAGGUUAAAAGACCAGAUGACUCAGAUGCAAGCGACCACAAUUGAGGUUCAAAAGAAAUAUGAAGAACUCCAGCUACAACUUAAAGUAGAGGCGGAAACAAGGGAAGCAGAGGCGGCAGUGAGGGCAGCAGAGGCGGCAGCGAGGGAAACAAAGCAGAGCAGAAAGUACGACGAACACCAACAGUAGCUUCAAGAUAUGAUGAAGAUAUUUCAGCAAUCGCAACAACCGCCAUCAUAGUGUAUUGUAUAAAUAUUUUUAUCAUUUUAACAUUUAACAUUUUUGUAAAAAUAAUAUGAAUUAUAUUUUAUUUAUUGACAUUAAUAUUAUUUUAUUCGUUUAAUUUAAAAUAUUAUAUAGAUUUAUUGCU